AUUGAACGCUGGCGGCAUGCCUUACACAUGCAAGUCGAACGGUAACAGGUUAAGCUGACGAGUGGCGAACGGGUGAGUAAUGUAUCGGAACGUGCCCAGUCGUGGGGGAUAACUGCUCGAAAGAGCAGCUAAUACCGCAUACGACCUGAGGGUGAAAGCGGGGGAUCGCAAGACCUCGCGCGAUUGGAGCGGCCGAUAUCAGAUUAGGUAGUUGGUAGGGUAAAAGCCCACCAAGCCGACGAUCUGUAGCUGGUCUGAGAGGACGACCAGCCACACUGGGACUGAGACACGGCCCAGACUCCUACGGGAGGCAGCAGUGGGGAAUUUUGGACAAUGGGCGCAAGCCUGAUCCAGCCAUGCCGCGUGCGGGAAGAAGGCCUUCGGGUUGUAAACCGCUUUUGUCAGGGAAGAAAAGGUUCUGGUUAAUACCUGGGACUCAUGACGGUACCUGAAGAAUAAGCACCGGCUAACUACGUGCCAGCAGCCGCGGUAAAAC
rnacentral:rRNA from 1 species